AGUUUAUUUGCCAAGCAAAGCAAUCUCCCCAUGCAGCAAUGGCUCUCAGAAGCUGCCGAGAUGGAGGUGACUGCUAAAAAGGAGACAGACGCACAGAUUUCUGCUUUUGUGCUUGGGUUUAAUGCAGGAGGUGAACUUCGCGGGACCUUUGCAACACUCCACUUCUGUUUAUAGUGUUUCUGGAGCAGGCUGUGUGGGAUGAGGGGCUGCUAAACCCAAAGGCUGUUUUCCCUGAGCCCAGGCACUGGCACAAAGCAGAGCAGGGGGCAUGGUUCCACUUCUGGAGGGGAGAAGCACAGCCUGUGCAGUGAAGAGUGGGUCCUGCAAUGGAAACAGAGGCAGAAGGUCUGCAUACCUCAUCCUUGCCAUUCAGGAAAGAGCCUGUAGAGGAAAUGCUAAGUCACAGCUUGAUGCAGUGAUGGAGCACCUGGUGGGAAGGCAGGGACAGCCCAGAGGAGCACAGGUGUAUGCAAUGUGCCUGAGUGAUGGAAGCCAGGAUCCACCUCUUCCCAGAUCUCAUUUAAGGGUUGGCAGUGGAGGUGAAGGUGUCUUGCUGGAGAUCCCUGCCUACCUGAGACCUUCCAAAGGCCAAUGUCAGCUGGAUGAGCUCCCAGCCUGCUUCCUGGGACAGCUUGGGAGAACAGACAGCAGAGUGCAGUGUCACCGCUGCAUGGACUGCAUGGAGAUGCCCCGAGUGCUGCCCAAUGCACGCAGCUGUCACCCUGCCUUGCUGCAGGCAUCAGCCCAGUUCCAUUUGGUGUUGGCGGCAGUUCCCAGCCCAUGCAUUUUGACACGGAUUCUCCAACCGCUUGUAAACGCUUCCAAGCAAGGAGGAAGGUGGUGGGAAGCACAGCGCCUUGCUGCAGGCAGGAGCACAGCUGGGGAGCAGGGCAGGGAGCUGAGCCUGCCUGUCCUCACCUCCUUAUCACCACCAAAAUGGUAGGGAUGGCUGCUGCAGGCCUGGAGGUGGGUGAGCAUGGAAGGAAGGGAUGCAGAAGGACCAGCGUGGUGCUGUGCCACAUGGGAGCAGCAGAAGACAACAGGGUAAGGCAGCACAGGCAGUGCCAAUACCACCCCCCUGCUCUCUGAAACCCCCACUGAUCAGCCCCCUAUUUACAUGAAUAUGAAAUCCACUUGCAGCUUCCUAAAUAAAACAAGAACUCUUUUCU
rnacentral:lncRNA from 7 species